GUAAGUUGGCAGAAUAGUGCCAUUGAUUUAGGAUCAGUUCAUGGGUAGAGCCCACUUACU
rnacentral:tRNA from 1 species